AGAACGAACGCUGGCGGCAGGCUUAACACAUGCAAGUCGAGCGCCCCGCAAGGGGAGCGGCAGACGGGUGAGUAACGCGUGGGAACAUACCCUCCGGUUCGGAAUAGCUCAGGGAAACUUGGAUUAAUACCGGAUACGGCCUAGCGGCGAAAGAUUCAUCGCCGGAGGAUUGGCCCGCGUUCGAUUAGCUAGUUGGUGAGGUAACGGCUCACCAAGGCGACGAUCGAUAGCUGGUCUGAGAGGAUGAUCAGCCACAUUGGGACUGAGACACGGCCCAAACUCCUACGGGAGGCAGCAGUAGGGAAUCUUGCGCAAUGCGCGAAAGCGUGACGCAGCAACGCCGCGUGGGGGAAGAAGGCCCUCGGGUUGUAAACCCCUUUCGGCAGGGACGAAGCGAAAGUGACGGUACCUGCAGAAGAAGCGCCGGCUAACUACGUGCCAGCAGCCGC
rnacentral:rRNA from 1 species